CGGACGGGUGAGUAACGCGUGAGAAUCUGGCCUACAGAUUGGGGACAACGUCGGGAAACUGACGCUAAUACCGAAUGUGCCGAGAGGUGAAAGAUUUAUCGUCUGUAGAUGAGCUCGCGUCUGAUUAGCUAGUUGGGGCGGUAACGGCGCACCAAGGCGACGAUCAGUAACUGGUCUGAGAGGAUGACCAGUCACACUGGGACUGAGACACGGCCCAGACUCCUACGGGAGGCAGCAGUGGGGAAUUUUCCGCAAUGGGCGAAAGCCUGACGGAGCAAUACCGCGUGCGGGAGGACGCUUUUUGGAGUGUAAACCGCUUUUCUCAAGGAAGAUGAUGACGGUACUUGAGGAAUCAGCAUCGGCUAACUUCGUGCCAGCAGCCGCGGUAAUACGAGGGAUGCAAGCGUUAUCCGGAAUUAUUGGGCGUAAAGCGUUCGUAGGUGGCAAAUUAAGUCUGUUGUUAAAACGUGGAGCUUAACUCCAUACCGGCAAUGGAAACUGGUUAGCUAGAGUAUGGUAGGGGUAACAGGAAUUCCCAGUGUAGCGGUGAAAUGCGUAGAUAUUGGGAAGAACACCAGCGGCGAAAGCGUGUUACUGGGCCAUUACUGACACUGA
rnacentral:rRNA from 1 species